rnacentral:lncRNA from 1 species
CCCACUAAAGGCCGAGAAAGGUUGUCGCCCUAGACUUUCCUUAUUGGGCUUCUGACCCACACCGGUGGUCUGCUCCGCGGAUCGCCUCCGUUUUCGUUCCAAUCCUCCACCAUCUUUGCCACCUCCAUCAUCUUUUUCAAGGUUUUGGGCUCAAACAUCCUCACUCCUGCUCGAAUCCUAGGUUUCAAUCCGAUCAUAAAAGCCAUCUCAAGGACUUUAUCCGUUAGCUCUGGUGCGUUAGAGGCUAACGCAAUAAAAUCCUUGCAAUAGCUCUUAACGAAGCCUUUUUGUCGGAGCAUGAGUAGCCUCUCACCCGCGUUCGUAUCGUGACUCAUCGCAUACUGCUCCAACACCCUC